rnacentral:rRNA from 1 species
GGUGAUCUACCCUUGGUCAGGUUGAAGUUCAGGUAACACUGAAUGGAGGACCGAACCGACUUACGUUGAAAAGUGAGCGGAUGAACUGAGGGUAGCGGAGAAAUUCCAAUCGAACCUGGAGAUAGCUGGUUCUCUCCGAAAUAGCUUUAGGGCUAGCCUCAAGUGAUGAUUAUUGGAGGUAGAGCACUGUUUGGACGAGGGGCCCCUCUCGGGUUACCGAAUUCAGACAAACUCCGAAUGCCAAUUAAUUUAACUUGGGAGUCAGAACAUGGGUGAUAAGGUCCGUGUUCGAAAGGGAAACAGCCCAGACCACCAGCUAAGGUCCCAAAAUAUAUGUUAAGUGGAAAAGGAUGUGGCGUUGCCCAGACAACUAGGAUGUUGGCUUAGAAGCAGCCAUCAUUUAAAGAGUGCGUAAUAGCUCACUAGUCGAGUGACACUGCGCCGAAAAUGUACCGGGGCUAAACAUAUUACCGAAGCUGUGGAUUGUCCUUUGGACAAUGGUAGGAGAGCGUUCUAAGGGCGUUGAAGCAUGAUCGUAAGGACAUGUGGAGCGCUUAGAAGUGAGAAUGCCGGUGUGAGUAGCGAAAGACGGGUGAGAAUCCCGUCCACCGAUUGACUAAGGUUUCCAGAGGAAGGCUCGUCCGCUCUGGGUUAGUCGGGUCCUAAGCUGAGGCCGACAGGCGUAGGCGAUGGAUAACAGGUUGAU